rnacentral:tmRNA from 1 species
CCUGGUUUCGACGGAGACUGCGAAGCAGCGCGGGGCAUGCCAAGGUGCAGAACCUUGUGAAUCCUCUGCAAUCGCAAACUUAACUGCGAACGACGAAACAUACGCUCUGGCGGCUUAAUCCCGCCGGACCUCGCACCGGGCGGCGCUCAGCUCGGGUGAUGAAACUGGCAACAGCGUAGUCACAGCGGGGACAUUUAGAGCGAUCGCGUGCGCCCGGGUCACUUGGGCGACACGUCAAAUCUAGGUGACUGGCAUCGGCGUCGCCUGUCCGUCAGUGGCGCCGGAGCGAGAGCUGAAUGACGAGGCUAAGCAUGUAGUCCUGCAUGUGUAGCGUUUUCGGACGCGGGUUCGAUUA